AAAAAUAUAAAUAAAGAAAUAAACAGAACACAACUUUUAUUUCUCUUCUAUGAUUCGUUCCGUUUUCUUGUCUCUAUUUCUUCACUUACACUGUCACUCUUUGAAAAUAUGUACACAUCGUGUAUG